UACGUAGGGUGCGAGCGUUGUCCGGAAUUAUUGGGCGUAAAGGGCUCGUAGGCGGUCUGUCGCGUCGAAAGUGAAAACCCAGGGCUUAACCCUGGGCCUGCUUCCGAUACGGGCAGACUAGAGGUAUGCAGGGGAGAACGGAAUUCCUGGUGUAGCGGUGAAAUGCGCAGAUAUCAGGAGGAACACCGGUGGCGAAGGCGGUUCUCUGGGCCGUAACUGACGCUGAGGAGCGAAAGCAUGGGGAGCGAACAGG
rnacentral:rRNA from 1 species